rnacentral:rRNA from 1 species
GAUGAACGCUGGCGGCGUGCCUAAUACAUGCAAGUCGAGCGAACGGACGAGAAGCUUGCUUCUCUGAUGUUAGCGGCGGACGGGUGAGUAACACGUGGAUAACCUACCUAUAAGACUGGGAUAACUUCGGGAAACCGGAGCUAAUACCGGAUAAUAUUUUGAACCGCAUGGUUCAAAAGUGAAAGACGGUCUUGCUGUCACUUAUAGAUGGAUCCGCGCUGCAUUAGCUAGUUGGUAAGGUAACGGCUUACCAAGGCAACGAUGCAUAGCCGACCUGAGAGGGUGAUAGGCCACACUGGAGCGUGGCCAGGGUCCAGACUCCUACGGGACGCAGCAGUAGGGUAUCGUCCGCAAUGGGCGAAAGCCUGACGGAGCAACGCCGCGUGAGUGAUGAAGGUCUUCGGAUCGUAAAGCUCUGUUAUUAGUGAAGAACAUAUGUGUAAGUAACUGUGCACAUCUUGACGGUACCUAAUCAGAAAGCCACGGCUAACUACGUG